CCUACGGGAGGCAGCAGUGAGGAAUUUUCCGCAAUGGGCGAAAGCCUGACGGAGCAAUACCGCGUGAGGGAUGAAGGAUUUUGGUCUGUAAACCUCUUUUCUCAAGAAAGAAGUUCUGACGGUACUUGAGGAAUAAGCAUCGGCUAACUCCGUGCCAGCAGCCGCGGUAAUACGGGGGAUGCAAGCGUUAUCCGGAAUGAUUGGGCGUAAAGCGCCUGUAGGUUGUUUAUUAAGUCCGUUGUUAAAGCCUAGGGCUCAACCCUAGAAAAGCAAUGGAAACUAGUAGACUAGAGUAUGGCAGGGGUAGAGGGAAUUUCUAGUGUAGCGGUGAAAUGCGUAGAUAUUAGAAAGAACACCGGUGGCGAAAGCGCUCUACUGGACCAUUACUGACACUCAGAGGCGAAAGCUAGGGUAGCAAAAGGGAUUAGAUACCCCUGUAGUCCUAGCCGUAAACGAUGGAUACUAGAUGUUGUGCAUUAUGUACAGUAUCGUAACUAACGCGUUAAGUAUCCGCCUGGGGAGUACGCUCGCAAGGGUGAAACUCAAAGGAAUUGACGGCUGGAGAGUGCGAGACGACACGAGGGAGGAGG
rnacentral:rRNA from 1 species